rnacentral:ncRNA from 2 species
UCAAAGCCGUCUGGAGAGCCGCCCCACCCCACUUGGCGUGGUGGCGCACCGAAGGAGCAAACCGCGCGCCAUGUGGGCUGCGCGGUGAAUCUCUCAGGUACCAAGGACAGGGGGAGCGGC